GCCUGGGUGGCUCAGUGGUUGAGCAUCUGUCUUCAGCUCAGGUUGUGAUCCUAGGGUCCUGGGAUUGAGUCCCACAUCAGGCU
rnacentral:tRNA from 1 species